UACCAGCUCUCCGAGUGGUAGGGACGUUUAUUGGGCUUAAAGCGUCCGUAGCCGGCUUAGCAAGUCUCCUGUUAAAUUCAGCGACCUAAUCGUUGAGCCGCGGGAGAUACUACUAGGCUAGGAGGCGGGAGAGGUCAACGGUACUUCCGGGGUUGGGGUGAAAUCCUAUAAUCCCGGGAGGACCACCAGUGGCGAAGGCUGUUGACUAGGACGCGCUCGACGGUGAGGGACGAAAGCUGGGGGAGCGAACCGGAUUAGAUACCCGGGUAGUCCCAGCUGUAAACGAUGCGAGCUAGGUGUUGGGGUGGCUACGUGCCACUUCAGUGCCGCAGGGAAGCCAUUAAGCUCGCCGCCUGGGGAGUACGGCCGCAAGGCUGAAACUUAAAGGAAUUGGCGGGGGAGCACCACAAGGCGUGAAGCUUGCGGUUC
rnacentral:rRNA from 1 species